rnacentral:tRNA from 3 species
GGAGGGAUGGCUGAGUGGUCGAAAGCGCACGACUCGAAAUCGUGUAGACCCCUUGGGUCUCGGGGGUUCGAAUCCCCCUCCCUCCGCCA